UAAACUAGGAUUAGAUACCCUAUUAUUUUAAAUGUAAAUUAUAAAUACUAAAGAAGUAUUAGUUAAGUUCUUUAAAUUUAAAGAUUUUGGCGGUAUUUUAGUCUAUUCAGAGGAACCUGUUCUGUGAUUGAUAAUCCACGAUUAAUUUUACUUGAUUUAAAUGUUUGUAUAUCGUCGUUUUUAAUAAUUUUGUAAAAAUUUAAAUUUUUAAGAUUUUAUAUUAAAAAAUAAAUCAGAUCAAGGUGCAGUUUAUGAUUAAGGAGAAAUGGGUUACAAUAAAUAUAUUUAUUAUGGAUUUUUAUAUGAAAAUUUAUUUUGAAGGAGGAUUUGAUAGUAAGAAAAUUAAAUUAAAUUUUUUGAUUUUAGCUCUAAAAUAUGUACAUAUCGCCCGUCGCUCUUAUUAUAAGAUAAGAUAAGUCGUAACAAAGUAGAUGUACUGGAAAGUGUAUCUAGAAUGAUCAAAUUAGAGCUUGAAUAGUAAAGCAUUUUAUUUACAUUAAAAAGUUAUCGUGCGAGUCGAUUUAGUGAAGUAAAAAAAUUAUUAAUUUUAUUUUUAUUUUAUUGUUAAUAAAAAUAAUUUUAUUAAAUUUAAUUUUUAGUAUAUUUUAUAGAAAAAAAUUUUUUUAUUAUAGUUUAUUAGUAUUGUAAAAGAAAUUUAAUUGAUUUGUUAAAUUGUUUAAAAGUAAGAUUUAUUUUUUGUACCUUGUGUGUCAGGGUUUAUUAAAUAAUAAUUAUAUAUUUUAAUUUUCCCGAGUUAAAGAGAGUUAAUAAGAUAUUUUUUUUAUUAUAGCAAUAUUAUUUAUAAUAUUUUAUUAGUAAUGAAACGUUAUUCGUUCUUUAAUAUAUCUGGUUUAUUUAGAAAUAAAUUUAAUUUAUCUUAUUUAAUUUAAAUUAUUUAUUUUUUUAAAUAUUUUAAUUUUAUUAGAAAUAAUUAAAGGGAUUAGCUUUUAAUUAAAUUUUUAUAAAUAAUAUAAAAGUUAUAAAAAAUGUAAGUUUAGAAAUAUCUACCAUAUUUAAUUUGUUAUAAUUAAUUUAUUUAAAGAUAAAAUUUUAUAUUAUUUUAAUUUUUUAUAAAUAAAUAAUUUAUAAUUAAUAAUAUUUAGUUAUAAUGAUAAAAUUAGUAUAAAAUUUUAUUUAAAUAAUAUUUUUUAAAAGGUUAUUUAAAGGAAUUCGGCAAAAAUUUUACUCGCCUGUUUAACAAAAACAUGUCCUUUUGAUGUUUAUUUAAGGUUUGACCUGCCCACUGAUUAUUUAAAUGGCCGCAGUAAUUUGACUGUGCAAAGGUAGCAUAAUCAUUAGUUUUUUAAUUAAAAGCUUGUAUGAAAGGUUGGACGAGGUAAAAUCUGUCUUUAUUUAAUUUAUUUUAUAAUUUAAUUUUUAAGUUAAAAAGCUUAAAUUUUAAUAAAAGACGAGAAGACCCUAUAGAUCUUUAUAUUAUUAUAAAUAAUUUUAAUUAGGAAUAUUUUAUUUUUUAUUUGUAUUAGUAUUUUAUUGGGGUAAUAAAGAGAUUAAAAAAAUUCUUUUUUUUAUAAAAUAUUAAUUGAUAAUUUUAUGAUCCAAUAAUUUUGAUUAAAAGAUUAAGUUACCUUAGGGAUAACAGCGUAAUUUUUUUAGAGAGUUCAUAUCGAUAAAAAAGUUUGCGACCUCGAUGUUGGAUUAAAAAUUGUUCUAGGUGCAGAAGUUUAGAAAUUUGGUCUGUUCGACCAUUAAAUUUUUACAUGAUCUGAGUUCAAAACCGGAGAU
rnacentral:rRNA from 1 species